UAAAGGAAUUGGCGGGGGAGCACUGCAACCUGAGGAUUGUGCGGUUUAAUUGGAUUCAACGCCGGAAAACUCACCAUAGCCGACGGACAUAUGAAGGCCAGCGUAACGAGCUUGCUGGAUUGUUCGAGAGGUAGUGCAUGGCCGUCGUCAGUUCGUACCGCAAGGCGUUCUGUUAAGUCAGAUAACGAACGAGACCCUCAUCCCUAUUUGCCAAGGUCUGUCCGCAGAUCACGGGACUAUAGGGAGACCGCUGGCGCGAAGUCAGAGGAAGGCGAGGGCAACGGUAGGUCAGUAUGCUCCGAAUGCUAUGGGCUACACGCGCAAUACAAAGGACGGGACAAUGGGCUGCAACUCCGAGAGGAAGACGCUAUCCCGAAACCCGUUCGUAGUUCGGAUUGAGGGCUGUAACUCGCCCUCAUGAAGCUGGAUUAGGUAGUAAUCGCGUCUCAAAAAGGCGCGGUGAAUAUGCCCCUGCUCCUUGCACACACCGCCA
rnacentral:rRNA from 1 species